rnacentral:rRNA from 1 species
UGGGGAAUUUUGGACAAUGGGCGAAAGCCUGAUCCAGCAAUGCCGCGUGUGUGAAGAAGGCCUUCGGGUUGUAAAGCACUUUUGUCCGGAAAGAAAUCCUUGGCUCUAAUACAGUCGGGGGAUGACGGUACCGGAAGAAUAAGCACCGGCUAACUACGUGCCAGCAGCCGCGGUAAUACGUAGGGUGCAAGCGUUAAUCGGAAUUACUGGGCGCAAAGCGUGCGCAGGCGGUUUGCUAAGACCGAUGUGAGAUCCCCGGGCUCAACCUGGGAACUGCAUUGGUGACUGGCAGGCUAGAGUAUGGCAGAGGGGGGUAGAAUUCCACGUGUAGCAGUGAAAUGCGUAGAGAUGUGGAGGAAUACCGAUGGCGAAGGCAGCCCCCUGGGCCAAUACUGACGCUCAUGCACGAAAGCGUGGGGAGCAAACAGGAUUAGAUACCCUGGUAGUCCACGCCCUAAACGAUGUCAACUAGUUGUUGGGGAUUCAUUUCCUUAGUAACGUAGCUAACGCGUGAAGUUGACCGCCUGGGGAGUACGGUCGCAAGAUUAAAACUCAAAUGAAUUGAC